GAGAGAGGGAAGGAGACAGAGAGAGAGGGAAGGAGAGAGAGAGAGAGAGAGAGAGGCCAGUAUAAUAUUGUCUCUUCUCUGAAUCCAAGAUCCUUCGGAGGAGGGAAGGACAAGAAGAAAUAGAGAAAGAUACAGCUCGAGUAAGAGAUAGAUAGAGAGAUAGAGAGAGAGAGAGAGAGAUCUAGGUAGACAGAAAUAAGGAGGGAGGGAAUGUAAAAGAGGACGUUUCUUUCCACAGUGGAGGAAGGGAGUCAUAACGCUGUCCUGCAGACGGAGGGGUAACAGACAGAUCUCCACCUGCCUGCUGCACACUUGCACACAGCGGCAUCCCUGGGAAUUACACGUGUCAACACCCGUACGAGUGCCUGCAGUCCUGGAAGAAGGACCUGCUUGAGCCAUGGGAGCAGUCUCUGGAACAAUCUCCGCUGUCCUGUGUUUCUCUGAGAGGAAAAUGGGGUCAAAUUAGGUUUUGGUGGCCUGAAAAAAUGAUGUAAAGCUUUCUUAAAUUCCACAUGGUGUUAGUUAUGAUAUGACUUUCCUUUAUUCGUCUAUUAAGUCUUAACUGUGAGGCUAAUGCCUUUUUAAUAUCAUUGGCAUUUGGAAUAUGCACAUUUUUUUAUGUUGCAGCACCUAAUAGUGUCAGACACCUUGAUUCAAGAAAAGAGAUUCAGUCAAACCACCCUUAAGCUUAUAAGAUUCUGCCAAAUGCUCAUAUGGUCUGAAAUAUAAGAAACAGGGAAAGGUUUUGCCUGAAUAUCAUGACACAAACAGGGGGGUGGGGCCUUUAUUUAAGGACAAGAAAGAGGCAUUCCAGGCACAGGGAGCCUCUGAUGCAGCAGACAGGUAAUGGCAGGCGAAAAAGGCAGCUGCUGCAGCAAUGGCAGAAGCAAAAACCAGGGCUUGGGAGGAGUUUGGAGAGGCCUUGGAGUAGGGCUUUUGGUCAGCCCCAAAGUAGUUCUGGAAAAGCAUUCGGCAUCUCAGGAGGGGAAAGCGGGACACUGUCCAGGCUAUUAUUCGCAGGAAUGGUGAAACUCUGACCUCAGCUGCGGAUAUUGUCGGAAGGUGCAAGGAACACUUUGAGGAACUCCUGAAUUAUUUUGGGAGGCUGAGCUGGAGCAGUCUGGGGGAUUAGAGUCCAUCUCUAUGGCAGAAGUCACGGGUGGUUGGAGAGCUCCUAAGUGGAAGAGUAUUGGGGUUGGAUGAGAUUUGAUGUUGAUGGCUCUGGAUGUUGUUAGUGUGUCGUAGCUUACACAAAUACACAAUGUCAUGUAGACAUUGGGAAAAGUGCCGUUGAAGUGGCAGACUGGGGUGAGGGUCCCCAUUUUUAGGAAAUUUGUCCCCCAAUUAUCAGGAAAUCUUACUCCUCAGCCCCCCCGAGAAAGUUCGGGAGGAACAAUGCGGGUUUCAUCCAAGCCACGGAACAGCAGACCGAUGUUUAACCCUCUCACAAAUAUUUAGGGGAUAUGGGAGUUUGCCUGUCCAGUCUGCAUGUCUUUUGUGGAUUUGGAGAAGGCAUAUGACUGUGUGCCCCAGGGUAUCUUGUGGGAAGUGCUAAGGGAGUGUGGGAUGCGGGGGUUGCUGUUGUGUGCCAUUCGGUUCCUGUAUACUUGGAGCGAAAGCUGUGUUCGCAUUCUUGGCAUUAAGUCAAGCUCAUUCAAAGUGGGUAUUGGACUCCGCCAAGGGUGUGCUUUGGCUCUCCUCCUGUUCUUGGUAUUCAUGGACAAGAUCUCAAGGCACAGCCAAGGUAUGUGUCCCAUUUUGGGACAUAGGAGCGGCAUCUCUGCUGUUUGGGGAUGACAUCAUUCUCUUGACCUCAUCGUACUGUUCGAUGUACACUAGAGCGGUUUUCAGCUGAGCGUGACAUGGUAGUGACGAGGGUCAGCACCUCUAAGUCUGUGGCCUUUGUCCUUUCCUGGAAAAAGAUGGUUUGUCCCCUUUAAGUAAGGGGGACCAACUGCCCCUGGUGGAGGAGUUCAAGUAUCUUGGGGUUUUAUUCACAAAUUAGGGGAAAAGGGAUUUGGAGAUCAGCUGCCAUCUAGGUGCAGCUGCCGCAGCAACGGUAGCAUUGUAUCAGGUGGUGGUGGUGAAGAAGGAGCUGAGCCAAAAUGCAAGUCGAUCUUCGUCCCUACUCUCACGUAUGCUCACGAUCUGUGGGUAAUGACCAAAAGAGAGAGACUGCAAAAACAAGCGGCCGCAAUGGGGUUUCUCCGUAGGGUGGCAGAGCUUACCCUCCUUGAUAGGGAGAGGAGCUCAGCCGUCUGGGAGGAACUCAAAGUAGAGCCACUGUUCUUCCACAUUGAAAGGAGUCCGUUGAGGUGGUUUGGGCAUCUGAUAAGGAUGCCUCCUGGGCACCUCCCUCUGGAGGUGUUCUGGCCACAGCCACCAGGGAGGUGGCCACCAGACCUAGGACACACUGGAGGGAUUAUAUGCACCAGCUGGCCUGGGAUUGCCUUGGGAUUGACCGGGAUGAGUUGGUGGAAGUUGCUGGGAAAAGGGACGUCUCAGCUGCUCUGCUUGUCCUUUUUCCACUGCGACCCUGAUUUGGACUAAGUUGUUAGAAAAUGGAUGGAUGGAUGUUUUUGUUAUGUGUGUUUUAUCUUUCCAGUUUGUUUGUCCAUCUCCGGUUACUCGGCUUGAAAAAGCCGCCAUGUGCCUCCUACCAGGGGAGACUAGCUCUUCGAACUUGUGCUUAGUGUAUUGUGUAUAGUGAUUGCUUCAUUUGACUUUGUGUAUUUGACCCUAUUUUUGUCUGCUGAUUAGAUCUUGUGUAUGACCACUGACUUUUCUUCCACUCAAAUUAUUGCCUUUGCCCUUCUAGUUUUUUGCCCCAUGAUUUUGUGUUUCUGAAUAUUUGCUCUCGUAUUGGAUUCUCGCCCAGGCCAUCUUCUUUGUUUGCUGAUUUGAUUUAGUGUUUGACUGUAUGCUUAUGGAAGUAAAUCUGUCUCACCAGAUUUUGAAAUUUGAAAGCCUUUGAAUUUCUAGCACUGAAUUUUUUUGCAUUGAAAUUAUGUAUCAAUGAAUUUUUUGCCUCUGAAUUCAACUCUAUUCAAAUUAUCAGUAACUCAUUUUCACUUUUAUAUUUCCAUGUUCACAAAUUAAUAAUCAAAAAUUCAAAUGUUAAAAAAUUCAAAUAAUAUAUAUUCAAGUUGCUCAAGUGUAAUGUACAUAUGUAUAAUAUAUACAUGUAAUAAACAGUAAGGGUAGAUAUGAAUGUGCUAAGAUAUAUACAGUAUGAACAGUAUGAACAGAGUGGUAUGAAUACGCUGAGAUAUAUACAGUGUGAACACUAGUAUGGACAGUAGGAAAUGUGAAUGCUAAGAAAUGCAGGCAGCUCGAGGUAUGAUAAGAAUACGAUGUACACUCUAUAGAUCAGAUAUAAACACUAUAGACAGUAGUAUAAAUAUGAAUAUGGCCAGCAGCCAUACCACCACGCACUCUGCUCCUGCUGACUGCCUGAAGCUAAACAGGUGUGGGCUUGGUUAGUACUUGGAUGGGAGACCACCAGGGAAUACUGAGUUGCUGCUGGAAGUGGUGUUGGUGGGCCAGCAGGGGGCAAUCUUCCCUCUGGUCAAAAAAACCCCAAUGCCCCAGUGCAGUGACGGGGACACUGUGCCGUAGGAGAUGUCGUCUUUCGGAUGAGACGUUAAACCGAGGUCCUGACUCACUGUGGUCAUUAAAGAUCCCAAGACACUCAGGGAUUAAAGUUCUCCGGAACAUUGGUCACUGACCUCACAAAUAGUCUCCUGGAUGAAUGGAAGCAAAUCCCUGCAGCAAUGUUCCCUUUUUGUGGCACAAUUUUCAGGCCACACCUUUUUCCUUUUUCUUAUAUUGUAUACCAUAUGAGCACUUGGCAAAAUCUUAUAAGCUUAAGGGUGGUUUGACUGAAUUUAUUUGAUUAAAUCAACAAGACCAACUUGACACUAUAAACUUGAGAUAAA